ACCUGGACCCGGACUGGCAGGGCUACGCAGGGUUCGGCGAGGCGGACUGGAGCUCCGAAGGGCGUGGGUGUCUACGCACGGACUCCGAAGCGCCUCCUACCGGCCGACCUUGAGCGGGAGUGGCGCAGCGGCUGCGCGGAGACCCACAUUGCCGCCGCAGGUACCCGCUCCCUUGCAUCUCGGUUGCAGCUGGUGCCUCGCGCGCUUCGGGGGCAGCGCCAGGGGCGUCUGGCAUCUCAUGCAUAAAUGAGUCGCAAUGUAGGAUGAAGGAUGCCAAAGGGCGGAGCGAGGCUGUCAUGGAAAGCAUGGCGUCCUCCUUGGAACGCCCGUCCUCACUGCCCUCGCAUUCCCUCUCAGCCCAUGUGAAUGUCUGCAGCACCAAUAUCCAUGUGCUUCAGCCGGAUCCUGCACGCAAUUGCACUCGCGGACGUCACGAGUAUGACGUCAGCGAUGGCGCCGGCGGCCCAUGCUCCCGCUCACUCAGAACGUUCAUCACCAACGUUUUACGUCAUGUGGUUUGCAUCAACUCAUUACCUUACAAAAACGCAUUUCUGUAGAAUAAAGCGGCGAUGUUG